rfam:Phytophthora infestans T30-4 supercont1.10 genomic scaffold, whole genome shotgun sequence.
GCGCCGUUGGUUUAGUGAUAAAAUAUCUCGUUGCCAACAGGAUGCCCCGUGUUCGAUUCCCGGACGGCGCA